rnacentral:rRNA from 1 species
GUCCUCUUGUUUUAUAUAUGAGGUCUGACCUGCCCAGUGAAAAUUAUUUUAACGGCCGCGGUAUUUUGACCGUGCAAAGGUAGCAUAAUCAUUAGUCUUUUAAUAGGAGGCUGGAAUGAAGGGUUUGACGAGGUAUUGACUGUCUCAUUUAAUUUGAAAUUAAAAUUUAACUUUUCAGUUAAAAGGCUGAAAUUGUAUUGGAAGACGAGAAGACCCUAUAGAGCUUUAUAUUUAAAAUUAAUAAUAAAUUUUUGUUUAUUAUUAUUUCUUAUUAUUUUAAUUAUUUUGUUGGGGUGACAAAAAUAUAUAAAUAACUUUUUUAUUUAAAUAACAUUGAUUUAUGAUUAUUAGAUCCAGUCUUAUUGAUUGUUAGAUUAAGUUACCUUAGGGAUAACAGCGUAAUCUUCCUUCAGAGUUCAUAUUUACAGGAAGGAUUGCGACCUCGAUGUUGGAUUAAGAUAAUAGUUAGGUGUAGCCGCUUAAUGUAUAGGUCUGUUCGACCUUUAAAUUCUU